AACGAACGCUGGCGGCAGGCUUAACACAUGCAAGUCGAGCGCCCCGCAAGGGGACCGGCUGACGGGCGAGUAACGCGUGGGAAUCUACCAAUCUCUACGGAAUAACGCAGGGAAACGGGUGCUAAUACCGCAUACGUCCUUCGGGACAAAGAUUUAUCGGAGUUGGAUGAGCCGGCGGUGGAUUAGCUAGUUGGUGGGGUAAAGGCCUACCAAGGCGACGAUCCAUAGCUGGUCUGAGAGGCUGAUCAGCCACACUGGGACUGAGACACGGCCCAGACUCCUACGGGAGGCAGCAGUGGGGAAUAUUGGACAAUGGGCGCAAGCCUGAUCCAGCCAUGCCGCGUGAGUGAUGAAGGCCCUAGGGUUGUAAAGCUCUUUCACCGGUGAAGAUAAUGACGGUAACCGGAGAAGAAGCCCCGGCUAACUUCGUGCCAGCCGCCGCCGUAAAAC
rnacentral:rRNA from 1 species